GCUGGCGGCAGCCCUUACACAUGCAAGUCGAGCGAGAAAGUUUCUUCGGAAACGAGUAAAGCGGCGGACGGGUGAGUAACGCGUAGGAAUCUACCAUUCAGUGGGGGAUAGCUCGGGGAAACCCGAAUUAAUACCGCAUAUACCCUAAGGGGGAAAGAGGGCCUAUCCUUGGAAGCUCUUGCUGUUUGAUGAGCCUGCGUGAGAUUAGUUUGUUGGUGAGGUAAUGGCUCACCAAGGCUACGAUCUCUAGCUGGUCUGAGAGGACGAUCAGCCACACUGGGACUGAGACACGGCCCAGACUCCUACGGGAGGCAGCAGUGGGGAAUAUUGGACAAUGGGGGCAACCCUGAUCCAGGCAUGCCGCGUGUGUGAAGAAGGCCUUCGGGUUGUAAAGCACUUUAGGUAAGGAAGAAAAGUCAUUGGUUAAUACCCAAUGACCAUGACAUUACUUACAGAAUAAGGACCGGCUAACUCCGUGCCAGCAGCCGCGGUAAUACGGAGGGUCCAAGCGUUAAUCGGAAUUACUGGGCGUAAAGCGCGCGUAGGCGGUUUGACAAGUUGGGUGUGAAAUCCCCGGGCUUAACCUGGGAACUGCAUUCAAAACUUUUAAACUGGAGUACGGGAGAGGAGAGUAGAAUUCAUGGUGUAGCGGUGAAAUGCGUAGAUAUCAUGAGGAAUACCAAUGGCGAAGGCAACUCUCUGGACCGUAACUGACGCUGAGGUGCGAAAGCGUGGGUAGCAAACAGGAUUAGAUACCCUGGUAGUCCACGCCGUAAACGAUGACAACUAGCCGUUGGACUUUCGGGUUCAGUGGCACAGCUAACGCAUUAAGUUGUCCGCCUGGGGAG
rnacentral:rRNA from 1 species